CGGAGGAAAAGAAACCAACAGGGAUUACCUCAGUAACGGCGAGUGAAGCGGUAAAAGCUCAAAUUUGAAAUCUGGCUCUUUUAGAGUCCGAAUUGUAAUUUGUAGAAGAUGCUUCGGGUGUGGUUCCGGUCUAAGUUCCUUGGAACAGGACGUCAUAGAGGGUGAGAAUCCCGUAUGUGACUGGAUACCUAUGCUCAUGUGAAGCUCUUUCGACGAGUCGAGUUGUUUGGGAAUGCAGCUCAAAAUGGGAGGUAUAUUUCUUCUAAAGCUAAAUAUUGGCCAGAGACCGAUAGCGCACAAGUAGAGUGAUCGAAAGAUGAAAAGCACUUUGGAAAGAGAGUUAAACAGUACGUGAAAUUGUUGAAAGGGAAGCGCUUGCAAUCAGACUUGCACUUGGUGUUCAUCAGGGUCUCGUACCCUGUGUACUUCAUCAAGUUCAGGCCAGCAUCAGUUUGAGUGGUUAGAUAAAGGCUUAGAGAAUGUGGCCCUCUUCGGGGGGUGUUAUAGCUCUAGGUGCAAUGUAGCCUACUUGGACUGAGGACCGCGCUUCGGCUAGGAUGCUGGCGUAAUGGUUGUAAGCGACCCGUCUU
rnacentral:rRNA from 1 species